AAACGCUAAUCGGAUCAGGGUUAGUCGGGGCCUAAGGCGUAUUCGAAAGAAAAAGCCGAUGGAUAACAGGUUAAUAUUCCUGUACUUGUAUUAAUUGCGAUGGGGUGACGGAGUAGUGAACGAUCUGCGUACUUACGGAGUAGUACGUUAAAGCUUGUAGAUAUAGGUUUUGCAGGUAAAUCCGCAAGACUUGUCGAAGGUGAUAGUACCGCGAGCCCUCGGGCAAGUGGAUAAUGAUCUUAAUCAGACUUCCAAGAAAACCCUCUAAGCUUCAGAUUAAUACAACUCGUACCGCAAACCGACACAGGUAGUCGAGGAGAAUAUCCUAAGGUGCUCGAGUGAUCCGUGGCUAAGGAACUCGGCAAAUUGACCCUGUAACUUCGGGAGAAAGGGUGCCUCCGGUUAAACGGAGGCCGCAGUAAAAUGGCCCAGGCGACUGUUUAUCAAAAACACAGGGCUUUGCUAAAACGAAAGUUGACGUAUAAGGCCUGACACCUGCCCGGUGCUGGAAGGUUAAGAGGAGAGGUCAGGAGCAAUCCAAAGCUUUGAAUUGAAGCCCCAGUAAACGGCGGCCGUAACGAUAACGGUCCUAAGGUAGCGAAAUUCCUUGUCGGGUAAGUUCCGACCUGCACGAAUGGUGUAACGAUCUGGGCACUGUCUCAGCCACGAGCUCGGUGAAAUUGUAGUAUCGGUGAAGAUGCCGAUUACCCGCAACGGGACGGAAAGACCCCGUGCACCUUUACUAUAGCUUAACAUUGACUUUGGAUAAAUGAUGUGUAGGAUAGGUGGGAGGCAGUGAAGUGGGAUCGCUAGGUUCCAUGGAGUCAACCUUGAAAUACCACCCUUUAUUUAUUUGGAGUCUAACCCCGUUCUGCGGGGGACAUUGUUUGGUGGGUAGUUUGACUGGGGUGGUCGCCUCCAAAAGAGUAUCGGAGGCUUUCAAAGGUACCCUCAGCACGCUUGGUAACCGUGCGUAGAGUGCAAUAGCAUAAGGGUGCUUGACUGUAAGACUGACAAGUCGAGCAGGUACGAAAGUAGGAUAUAGUGAUCCGGUGGUUCCGCAUGGAAGGGCCAUCGCUCAUAGGAUAAAAGGUACGCCGGGGAUAACAGGCUGAUCUCCCCCAAGAGCUCAUAUCGACGGGGAGGUUUGGCACCUCGAUGUCGGCUCGUCACAUCCUGGGGCUGGAGAAGGUCCCAAGGGUUAGGCUGUUCGCCUAUUAAAGUGGCACGCGAGCUGGGUUCAGAACGUCGUGAGACAGUUCGGUCCCUAUCUGUUGUGGGCGUUGGAAGUUUGAGAGGACCUGACUCUAGUACGAGAGGACCGAGUCGGACAAGCCGCUAGUGUACCUGUUGUAGUGCCAACUGCACCGCAGGGUAGCUACGCUUGGAUGAGAUAAGCGCUGAAAGCAUCUAAGUGCGAAACUCACCUCAAGAUGAGACUUCCCUUAAGAGUCGUCAAAGACUAUGACGUUGAUAGGUUGCAAGUGUAAAGGCAGUAAUGUCAUAGCUGAGCAAUACUAAUUACUC
rnacentral:rRNA from 1 species